AACGAACGCUGGCGGCAGGCCUAACACAUGCAAGUCGAGCGAGGACUUCGGUUCUAGCGGCGGACGGGUGAGUAACGCGUGGGAAUGUGCCCUUCUCUACGGAAUAGCCCUGGGAAACUGGGAGUAGUACCGUAUACGCCCUUUUGGGGAAAGAUUUAUCGGAGAAGGAUCAGCCCGCGUUGGAUUAGGUAGUUGGUGGGGUAAUGGCCUACCAAGCCGACGAUCCAUAGCUGGUUUGAGAGGAUGAUCAGCCACACUGGGACUGAGACACGGCCCAGACUCCUACGGGAGGCAGCAGUGGGGAAUCUUAGACAAUGGGGGCAACCCUGAUCUAGCCAUGCCGCGUGAGUGAUGAAGGCCUUAGGGUUGUAAAGCUCUUUCAGCUGGGAAGAUAAUGACGGUACCAGCAGAAGAAGCCCCGGCUAACUCCGUGCCAGCCGCCGCGGUAAAAC
rnacentral:rRNA from 1 species